CUGAAGAGUUUUCUAGAGUUUUCACCGAGGGGUGAGAAAUCCAGGGUUCUGUCCAGUCUUCUCCAGCUCACCACCCUACUUUAGGAACUCAUAACCUGAUGAUAGACGCAGUUACAGUAACAAAGAAGCUUGCAAAGGAAACAGUGGAAAGGGGCAAGUUCCAGGAAGGUGACCCACAAGAACUGAUCAGUCGAUUUCUUGUUGGAGAUUAAAGGAUAAAACAGAGGGAGGCCCAGUUGUUAGUUCUCACAGCUCCCGUCCAGCUUUGUUGCCGCAGGCCAUAGCUCCUGGCCUGAGGCUCUUCAUACCAUUGUCCUUUUGGAGUUCCUAUGACUGUGGUGUCCCCUGGUCCCUUCAGGGCUGGAAAUUGGAAUCACUGCCUGUUGGUAGAACUCCUAGCCACUGAGGCUGUCCUUGGAGAAACACUCUGUUGUAAGGGAUCCUCACACAAUCAGGAGAUGCAGGCCAGGUGACGGUUGUCCCUAUUCUGAUGACAAGACUGCCUUUCAGAGCGGUAUGUAACUCAUUCCGUUACACAGUUAUGCACUGCUUAGCCCUGUCAAGGUCACAGUCAACUUUAUACAGAAACAGACUUUAUAUGUGUUCAUGGAAACAUUUAGCAGACACUGUUACAAAGUGAUGCUCUAAAGGGUGACUUUUUCUCACCUAUAUUUUCUAAAUUUCUUUAAUAAGUAUAGAUAGUCUAUGAAUAAUAAUACAAAUAAUAAGAAAGAGCACAAUGAGAAAAAAAAUCCUACACAAGAAUUCUACAGAAAAGUUCCAGGUUUCUUCCAUGUCCGAUUAGUAAGAACUAAGAAAUAACAUUCACAGUUAAUUGGUCUUCUGGUGUCAUUUAACUAAUAAUGCUUAAUUUCAUCGGAGAAGGCAGUGGCAACCCACUGCAGUACUCUUGCCUGGAGAAUCCCAUGGACGGAGGAGCCUGGUAGGCUGCAGUCCAUGGGGUCACUAAGAGUGGGACACAACUGAGCGACUUCACUUUAACUUUUCACUUUCAUGCUUUGGAGAAGGAAAUGGCAACCCACUCCAGAGUUCUUGCCUGGAGAGUCCCCAGGACAGAGGAACCUGGUGGGCUGCUGUCUAUGGGGUCGCAGAGUUGGUCACAACUGAAGCGACUUAGCAGCAGCAGCUUAAUUUCAUUAAGUAAAAUAAGAUUUUAGUGGAUGGAAUUUUUCCAAAAGAUGAUACUAUUUUUCUAAAUUUCUAUAUGCCACCCUGAAAACCUCAUUUCCUAGAAUUUUCAUGAAAAAAAAAAACCUACAGACCCAAAAACCUCUGCAAGAAUGACUUGUGAUUAUUCUGUUCUUUCCAUUCCUGAGAUUAGCAUAUUAAAAAAUGUCAAAUAUGCUGCAUAUUAUGCAGGAGACCCCGGUUUGAUUCCUGGGUUGGGAAGAUCCGCUGGAGAAGGGAUAGGCUACCCACUCCAAUAUUCUUGGGCUUCCCUGGUGGCUAAGCUUGUAAAGAAUCCACCUGCAGUGCGGGAGACCUGGGUUCGAUCUCUGAGUUGGUAAGAUCCCCUGGAGAAGGGAAAGGAUACCCACUCCAGUAUUCUGGCCCAGAGAAUUCCAUGGACUAUAUAGUCCAUGGGGUCACAAAGAGUCGGACAUGACGGGCACGACUGAGUGACUUUCCCCUCACAAACUAACCCUAUGCCUUCCUUACAUGGUAAUGGGAGAUGCCACUAUUAGAGGCUAUUCUUUCUGGGAGUCCCCACCUCAGAACUGCAUCUGGCAGUGCCCGUGACCAGAGUCAGCCUUCUGCAGACAGCUGAUCAGUCUACAGUUAUGUUUUGUGAUGUUACCUGUUAGUAUCUGUGUGUGUGUGUGUGUGUGUGCGCUGAUGAUAUGGUGAUAUUUGGAACUUUCUAUUACACAUUUUGUUUUCCCUGGUAUUUUUCGUUUUUUUGGCCAUGCCACAUGGCUUGUGGGAUCUUAGUUCCCCAACCAGGGAUUGAACCCAGGUCCUGGCAGUGAAAGCACCUAGUCCUACCCCCUGGACCAUCAGGGAAUUCCCUCCCUGAUAAUUUCUAAUUGCCUUGUAUGCUCACACUAUUUACCUUUAUUGUAGUGUUGUUUUAUUUUUUUUAACUUUCCAGCAUACUGAACAUUCUACAAUUAAACCUUCAGCACUGUCAGGGUAAGGGGCGCCAACCCUCCCUGCAAUGGAAAAUCUGAGUAAAACUUGACAAUCAGCCCUUCAUAUGCAUAGUUCUGAAUCUGUGGAAUCAGACAAUCAGUACAGAUUUAGUGAAAGAACUUUGCAUAUAAGUGGGCCGUAGCAGUUCAAAACUAUGUUGUUCCAGAGCCCAUUGUAUUUUGUCUCUCGCUUUUUUGGUUAUCUCCUUCCUGGAGCCUUUUAUCCUCAUGUUAGUCUUGAUUGAUUGCCUUAUAUUACCUACUGCAUGGCUGUCAUCUGGGGUUUCCCUUCACUGAUAUUUGAGGAAGUACUGCAAGUCCCUAAGUCCACUGCUUUCCUUUUCUAUGAUGCUGCUCUUUUGGGUGUUUACUUGGGAGUAGAAUUGUUGGAUCAUAUGGUAAUUCUUGGGCUUCCCAG
ensembl:lncRNA